rnacentral:lncRNA from 1 species
UUUGAUUCCUCUUUAUAGUCACUAUAUAUUCACAAGAUUAAACAUUUCUCAACAGAAGACUUUAAAAUGCUAAAAGUUCAUUCAAUAUCAUUUUAUAAGUAGCCGUUUAAAAUCUUGUGUUUGACAUUUGCCUAUAAACGAGAUGAAUGAGGUCAAUAUCAAGGACACUUGAAGUGUUAGUAUGAAUAGAACCCUUUAUCUUUUGACAGC